rnacentral:rRNA from 1 species
AACGAACGCUGGCGGCAGGCUUAACACAUGCAAGUCGAGCGCCUCGCAAGAGGAGCGGCAGACGGGUGAGUAACGCGUGGGAACGUACCCCUAUCUUCGGAAUAGCUCUGGGAAACUGGAAGUAAUACCGAAUGUGCCCUUAGGGGGAAAGAUUUAUCGGAUAAGGAUCGGCCCGCGUUGGAUUAGCUAGUUGGUGGGGUAAAGGCCUACCAAGGCGACGAUCCAUAGCUGGUCUGAGAGGAUGAUCAGCCACAUUGGGACUGAGACACGGCCCAAACUCCUACGGGAGGCGGCAGUGGGGAAUAUUGGACAAUGGGCGCAAGCCUGAUCCAGCCAUGCCGCGUGAGUGAUGAAGGCCUUAGGGUUGUAAAGCUCUUUCACCGGAGAAGAUAAUGACGGUAUCCGGAGAAGAAGCCCCGGCUAACUUCGUG